GCUCCAGUGGCGCAAUCGGUCAGCGCGCGGUACUUAUAAGACAGUAUGAUGCUUAGCAAUGCCGAGGUUGUGAGUUCGAGCCUCACCUGGAGCA
rfam:Danio rerio chromosome 6, GRCz11 reference primary assembly.